rnacentral:lncRNA from 1 species
GUAUUACACUAUAAGGAAGGCCCACCCCAUCUCUACUGGUAUUACACUAUAAGGAAGGCCCACCCCAUCUCUACUGGUAUUACACUAUAAGGAAGGCCCACCCCAUCUCUACUGGUAUUAUGUAUUAUACUUUAAGCAAGGCCCACCCCAUCUCUACUGGUAUUAUGUAUUAUACUAUAAGGAAGGACCACCCAAUCUCUACUAUUAUUAUACUAUAAGGAAGGCCCACCCCAUCUCUACUGGUAUUAUACUAUAAGGAAGGCUCACCCCAUCUCUACUGGUAUUAUACUAUAAGGAAGGCUCAUCCAAUCUCU